UAUGGACGAGAGUCUGAACCAGCCAGUAGCGUGAAGGAUGACUGCCCUAUNGGUUGUAAACUUCUUUUAUACGGGAAUAAAGUGAGGCACGUGUGCCUUUUUGUAUGUACCGUAUGAAUAAGGAUCGGCUAACUCCGUGCCAGCAGCCGCGGUAAUACGGAGGAUCCGAGCGUUAUCCGGAUUUAUUGGGUUUAAAGGGAGCGUAGGCCGGAGAUUAAGCGUGUUGUGAAAUGUAGACGCUCAACGUCUGCACUGCAGCGCGAACUGGUUUCCUUGAGUACGCACAAAGUGGGCGGAAUUCGUGGUGUAGCGGUGAAAUGCUUAGAUAUCACGAAGAACUCCGAUUGCGAAGGCAGCUCACUAGACUGUUACUGACACUGAUGCUCGAAAGUGUGGGUAUCAAACAGGAUUAGAUACCCUGGUAGUCCAAGGGCGAAUUC
rnacentral:rRNA from 1 species